rnacentral:rRNA from 1 species
UACAGAGGGUGCGAGCGUUAAUCGGAAUUACUGGGCGUAAAGCGUGCGUAGACGGUAGCGUAAGUCAGAUGUGAAAGCCCCGGGCUCAACCCGGGAACUGCGUUUGAAACUGGCAGGCUAGAGUUUGGCAGAGGGGGGUGGAAUUCCACGUGUAGCAGUGAAAUGCGUAGAGAUGUGGAGGAACACCGAUGGCGAAGGCAGCCCCCUGGGCCAAAACUGACGCUCAGGCACGAAAGCGUGGGGAGCAAACAGG